rnacentral:rRNA from 1 species
UGGGGAAUAUUGCACAAUGGGGGAAACCCUGAUGCAGCAACGCCGCGUGAGUGAUGAAGGCCUUCGGGUUGUAAAGCUCUGUCUUUGGGGACGAUAAUGACGGUACCCAAGGAGGAAGCCACGGCUAACUACGUGCCAGCAGCCGCGGUAAUACGUAGGUGGCAAGCGUUGUCAGGAUUUACUGGGUGUGAAGGGCGCGCAGGCGGGAUAAAAAGUCAGUGGUGAAAUCCUACAGCUUAACUGUAGAACUGCCUUUGAUACUUUUAUUCUUGAGUUCGGGAGAGAGAGACGGAAUUCCAGGUGUAGUGGCGAAAGACGUAGAUAUCUGGAAGAACACCAGUUGCGAAGGCGGUCUCUUGAUCCGACACUGACGCUGAGGCGCGAAAGCGUGGGGAGCAAACA